UGUGCUGUGGGUGUAGUGGUUAGUCACAUCCGCCUUAAACGCGGAAGGCCCAGGUUCGAUCCCUGGCAGGCACAA